rnacentral:tRNA from 1 species
UGCGGGGUGGAGCAGUCCGGUAGCUCGUUGGGCUCAUAACCCAAAGGUCGUAGGUUCGAAUCCUGCCCCCGCUACCA